rnacentral:rRNA from 1 species
UUAGAUACCCUGUUAUUUAAAGGCAUAAAUUUAUCAUCUGCCAGGGUAGUACGAACACAUGUUUAAAACCCAAAGGACUUGGCGGUACUAUAAUCCAACUAGGGGAACUUGUCUCUUGAUUCGAUAGUCCACGAAAAUCUUACUUAUCCUAGCAAAUAUCAGUUUACAUACCGUCGUCUAGCUGGCCUUACGAGAGAUUAAAAGCUGGCGAGAAAGGUGAAUUCCUAAUAAGACAGAUAAAGGUGCAGCUAAUGGAUAAAGGGAAGGAUGCGUUAUAAUUAAGAAUUUGAUAGUGGAAUUUUAAUGAAAAUUUAGAAGGAAAGAAGACUUAGAAGUAAUUUUUAGAGAAUACUAGAAAUGAAUUUUUAUUAGGCUCUAUAGUGUGCACAAAUCGCCCGUCACUCUC